GUCAAGUCAUCAUGGCCCUUAUGUCCAGGGCGACACACGUGCUACAAUGGCCGGUACAGAGGGAAGCAAGACCGUAAGGUGGAGCGGAUCCCACAAAGCCGGUCUCAGUUCGGAUUGAAGUCUGCAAUUCGACUUCAUGAAGCUGGAAUCGCUAGUAAUCGCAGAUCAGCCAAGCUGCGGUGAAUACGUUCCCGGGCCUU
rnacentral:rRNA from 1 species